AUGCUUCAGCAGCGGUUACUCAAAAUACUAACUGCUAUCCGUAAAAUAGACAGAGAGAGUUUACUAAGCAAGCUCUAUCCAGUAAAGCAAUCGUUAGUGCAAGACAAGCAUCCCUGCAAGUACCUCCAGUCAGGAACCAAUCAGCAGGAUUGCUCUUACCAGUUCUCAGUGUCACCCAAGGAAGUGCUGCCCUUCACCUUCCCGUCCUAUAACCCUCCCCAGGACUCCAACGAGCUGGCUCCUGGUGGCCUUGGACUGGUCCCAAUUAAGCCUUUGGAUGUUCAAAUCAAGCAGAGUUAUUCCUUCUUCAAUUUGCAGGUUCCUCAGCUGUACAAAAUUAAGGGAUACCAGCCAUUCUCUGUCCACAAGUCUUCAACAAGUUACAAACCUCAAAAGCUCAUACGGCCCCUGAAGCAAGGAGCUGAGGUAACACAUCCCUACCUUCCAGAAUAGCUCUCACCUUUACCCUCUUGUCCUGGCAUCAAGAUUAACAGGUGGUUCUUGAUCUGUGACAGGAUGAAGUUACCACCAUCAUAACACUGCCAAAACAGGACUCAACAUCUCCACUCUCUGCCAAGCCUUCAAUCUUGAGUAUGAAACCUCCUGAGAGCUUAUCCAUGUCCCCAGACUAUGACUCACUUUACAUCUUUGUAAGUAACAAUCAGCAGAAGUCUUGUAUUUGGUGUUCCUUUAUUUCAGCAGUUACCCUAUAACAGUGAAGGUGAACCUUUUAGAGCUUUCAGUAAUAACAAACAGCCCACUGCUGCACGUGUGCUAUAGAUUUGCCACCACUACAAGAAACCAGAACAUUAAUUAGAAUUAUUUCUCACCUUCAAAAUUGCUUGUCAUUAUUUAAUUAUCUGGAAAAUACUAGUGUUUCUGUCUCUUAACAAUUCCAGCAUUUAUUUUUAUAAAAAUAUGAUCUUUUCUAUUUCUAUAUGACAUAUACAUAUAGGCUGAGGAAGAAAUCAAGAGAAAUUAAAAAGUACAUUUAAC
rnacentral:lncRNA from 1 species